UACGUAGGGGUCGAGCGUUGUCCGGAAUUACUGGGCGUAAAGCGCGCGCAGGCGGCUGAUCAAGCCUGACGUGAAAGCCCCCGGCUCAACCGGGGAGGGUCGUCGGGGACUGGUUGGCUUGAGGGCGGUAGGGGCCGGUGGAAUUCCCGGUGUAGUGGUGAAAUGCGUAGAGAUCGGGAGGAACACCAGUGGCGAAGGCGGCCGGCUGGGCCGACCCUGACGCUGAGGCGCGAAGGCGUGGGGAGCGAACGGG
rnacentral:rRNA from 1 species